AUUGAACGCUGGCGGCAUGUUUUACACAUGCAAGUCGAACGGCAGCGCGGGCUUCGGCCUGGCGGCGAGUGGCGAACGGGUGAGUAAUACAUCGGAACGUGCCCAGUAGUGGGGGAUAGCUCGGCGAAAGCCGGAUUAAUACCGCAUACGACCUGAGGGUGAAAGCGGGGGAUCUUCGGACCUCGCGCUAUUGGAGCGGCCGAUGACAGAUUAGCUAGUUGGUGGGGUAAAGGCCUACCAAGGCGACGAUCUGUAGCUGGUCUGAGAGGACGACCAGCCACACUGGGACUGAGACACGGCCCAGACUCCUACGGGAGGCAGCAGUGGGGAAUUUUGGACAAUGGGCGAAAGCCUGAUCCAGCAAUGCCGCGUGUGUGAUGAAGGCCUUCGGGUUGUAAAGCACUUUUGGCGGGAACGAAAAGGACUGUGCCAAUACCACGGUUCGAUGACGGUACCCGCAGAAUAAGCACCGGCUAACUACGUG
rnacentral:rRNA from 1 species